rnacentral:misc_RNA from 1 species
CACGUAGGGGGCGAGCGUUGUCCGGAUUUAUUGGGCGUAAAGAGCUCGUAGGCGGUUCGGUAAGUCGGGUGUGAAACCUCCAGGCUCGACCUGGAGACGCCACCUGAUACUGCUGUGACUAGAGUCCGGUAGGGGAGCGGGGAAUUCCUAGUGUAGCGGUGAAAUGCGCAGAUAUUAGGAGGAACUCCGGUGGCGAAGGCAAUCCCCUGGGCCUGCACUGACGCUCAUGCACGAAAGCGUGGGGAGCAAACAGG